UACGAAGGGGGCUAGCGUUGCUCGGAAUCACUGGGCGUAAAGCGCACGUAGGCGGAUUGCUAAGUCAGGGGUGAAAUCCCAGAGCUCAACUCUGGAACUGCCUUUGAUACUGGGUAUCUUGAGUAUGGAAGAGGUGAGUGGAACUCCUAGUGUAGAGGUGGAAUUCGUAGAUAUUAGGAAGAACACCAGUGGCGAAGGCGGCUCACUGGUCCGGUACUGACGCUGAGGUGCGAAAGCGUGGGGAGCAAACAGG
rnacentral:rRNA from 1 species